rnacentral:rRNA from 1 species
GCACAAGCGGUGGAGCAUGUGGUUCAAUUCGACGCAACGCGAAGAACCUUACCGGGGUUUGAACUGCACAGGACAGCUCUAGAGAUAGAGUCUUCCUUCGGGACCUGUGUAGAGGUGCUGCAUGGCUGUCGUCAGCUCGUGUCGUGAGAUGUUGGGUUAAGUCCCGCAACGAGCGCAACCCUUGCCUCCUGUUGCUAACGAGUAAUGUCGAGCACUCUGGAGAGACUGCCGGUGAUAAGCCGGAGGAAGGUGGGGAUGACGUCAAGUCCUCAUGGCCUUUAUGCCCCGGGCUACACACGUGCUACAAUGGCUGGUACAAAGGGUCGCAAAACCGCGAGGUGGAGCUAAUCCCAAAAAGCCAGUCCCAGUUCGGAUUGCAGUCUGCAGCUCGACUGCAUGAAGUUGGAAUCGCUAGUAAUCGCGGAUCAGCACGCCGCGGUGAAUACGUUCCCGGGC